UAAUAAUGCAUUGUUCACAUCUAUAUUAAUGGUUAAUAUGACAACUUCUUUUACCAGUUAAGGAACUGUGCUGCAUCACAAAGCAGAUGCUCAAAAUAGUUGGGUGGCACUGAUUUUUCUGCUUUACUUGUUGUGCACUGGCUCAUGGAUACUACUAAUCCAUGUUGUGGCAAAACAUAUCCAAUUAGAAAUUCCAGUUCUUAAAAGUGUUGUAUAUUACUUGCUCUUAAACAACAAAUCACUUCCUUUUAUUGUAGAUCUGAUGAAGUCUCAGAAGGUUUAAUGGACUUCUGUAAUCAUCCUAAACAAAAUUCAUCUUUGUUGUUAAUGACUCAGUGGUUGGAUAUGGUGGAAGGCUGACUCUAUAAUUUUUAUUGCUUAUGUUUAAUAAAGAAGUACCAUUAUCCCCACAACUCUUCAUGGACUCUAUUGCUUAUACUGAUUUGCAAAUAAAGUUGGUCCAGUUGCUCCCUUUACAUGUUGAAGAGAUUGCUGGAGAACCAGUAUUUUAAAUAUUUAACAUUUGUCAUUCUUCAUUGUAGAUAGGGACUGGUCAUUUUUCACCCAUUG
rnacentral:misc_RNA from 1 species